GCUGGCUCCUAGAUUCCAAACACAUUUCUCAAACCCUGGUAUAACACUAUAGUGUAGUGUUCCUACAGAGACUAACUAGUCUCUUUCACAACACAUGAAUGGACAUUAAUACCAGAAUCAAUAUUUUUCAGUGGUUAAAUUAAAAGAAGAAAAAAAAAAACACCUAAAGUCUAACAAAGAUUAAAGAAAAUUAAAUGAAAUAUACCUGAAAUGUGUUUAAUGUUUCUAGUUCAUCCAUUACACAGUGCUUUCUAAUCACCAUACCAAUCAGAACAAAGCGCUGGAUCAUUGCAGAAGUCAUGUUUAGACAUGAAUUUCUAUUCACUGGGCAGCUUUGUGUUUAGACAUGGAUACCUAUAAAUGUGUCAGUGACGUUCAUGUCAAAAUCAUUUUCUCACAUAAAGUUAAUCACUAAAAGUAUGAAAUCCUCAGAUAAGAUUUGGAAAUCAUCACGAACCAAGCACUUAAUAU